rnacentral:rRNA from 1 species
ACGGAAGGCAGCAGUGGGGAAUAUUGCACAAUGGGGGAAACCCUGAUGCAGCGACGCCGCGUGAGUGAUGAAGUAUUUCGGUAUGUAAAGCUCUAUCAGCAGGGAAGAUAAUGACGGUACCUGACUAAGAAGCCCCGGCUAACUACGUGCCAGCAGCCGCGGUAAUACGUAGGGGGCAAGCGUUAUCCGGAUUUACUGGGUGUAAAGGGAGCGUAGACGGCUUAGCAAGUCUGAAGUGAAAGGCAUGGGCUCAACCUGUGGACUGCUUUGGAAACUGUUAAGCUAGAGUACCGGAGGGGUAAGCGGAAUUCCUAGUGUAGCGGUGAAAUGCGUAGAUAUUAGGAGGAACACCGGUGGCGAAGGCGGCUUACUGGACGGCAACUGACGUUGAGGCUCGAAAGCGUGGGGAGCAAACAGGAUUAGAUACCCUGGUA